rnacentral:rRNA from 1 species
GAUGAACGCUAGCGGCAGGCUUAACACAUGCAAGUCGAGGGGCAUCGGGAGGGAAGCUUGCUUUCCUUGCCGGCGACCGGCGCACGGGUGAGUAACACGUAUGCAACCUGCCCUCUUCAGGGGGACAACCUUCCGAAAGGGAGGCUAAUCCCGCGUAUAUCGGUUUCGGGCAUCCGAGAUCGAGGAAAGAUUCAUCGGAAGAGGAUGGGCAUGCGGCGCAUUAGCUUGACGGCGGGGUAACGGCCCACCGUGGCGACGAUGCGUGGGGGUUCUGAGAGGAAGGUCCCCCACACUGGUACUGAGACACGGACCAGACUCCUACGGGAGGCAGCAGUGAGGAAUAUUGGUCAAUGGGAGAGAUCCUGAACCAGCCAAGCCGCGUGAGGGAAGACGGCCCUAUGGGUUGUAAACCUCUUUUGUCGGAGAACAAAACCCGGGACGUGUCCCGGACUGCGUGUAUCCGAAGAAAAAGCAUCGGCUAACUCCGUGCCAGCAGCCGCGGUAAUACGGAGGAUGCGAGCGUUAUCCGGAUUUAUUGGGUUUAAAGGGUGCGUAGGCGGUCCGUUAAGUCAGCGGUAAAAUUGCGGGGCUCAACCCCGUCGAGCCGUUGAAACUGGCAGACUUGAGUUGGCGAGAAGUACGCGGAAUGCGCGGUGUAGCGGUGAAAUGCAUAGAUAUCGCGCAGAACUCCGAUUGCGAAGGCAGCGUACCGGCGCCAGACUGACGCUGAGGCACGAAAGCGUGGGGAUCGAACAGGAUUAGAUACCCUGGUAGUCCACGCAGUAAACGAUGAAUGCUGGUUGUCCGGGUCGAAUGAGAUCUGGGCGGCGAAGCGAAAGCGAUAAGCAUUCCACCUGGGGAGUACGCCGGCAACGGUGAAACUCAAAGGAAUUGACGGGGGCCCGCACAAGCGGAGGAACAUGUGGUUUAAUUCGAUGAUACGCGAGGAACCUUACCCGGGCUCAAACGGGAGUGGAAUGGACCAGAGACGGUUCAGCCUACGGGCCGCUUCCGAGGUGCUGCAUGGUUGUCGUCAGCUCGUGCCGUGAGGUGUCGGCUUAAGUGCCAUAACGAGCGCAACCCCCGCCGGCAGUUGCUAACGGGCAAUGCCGAGGACUCUGCCGGGACUGCCGCCGCAAGGCGAGAGGAAGGCGGGGAUGACGUCAAAUCAGCACGGCCCUUACGUCCGGGGCGACACACGUGUUACAAUGGGCGGUACAGCGGGAAGCCAGGCGGCGACGCCGAGCGGAACCCGAAAGCCGUUCUCAGUUCGGAUCGGAGUCUGCAACCCGACUCCGUGAAGCUGGAUUCGCUAGUAAUCGCGCAUCAGCCAUGGCGCGGUGAAUACGUUCCCGGGCCU